UGAGGACUACUAAAACGAUUUUCUAGAACCAUCAUUCCAUACCCCGACUAGAACUCGCUACAUUCUCGCCUCCUGAGAAGAAAAAUGGAACAAAAAGAAAAAGGGUGAGCUCAACUAGCCCAGUAAAGAACAUUAUGACCAAUAUAAUAUAGAACAAAUUAUCAUUAGUCCUCAACAGUGAAAAAUCUGAUAGAAUAUAAUAGACAACAAGUUUCAGAUCAAUAUUCGCAGCGGAAAUAACAAUUCAUAGAAGAGUUACAUAGAGAAUGAAAUCUACUAUAAUCUAUGAAUUUAAAAGUCCAUCAUAUAUAUUUUAUCCCUGUAACACCAAUCAAUAUUCAUAUUGAAUCAAAUAUUAAUUUUUGCACUACAGGCCAAAGAUAUUCAUCAGUUGGUCAUGUUCAUCUAAACACCUGUACAUCUUUGCACUACGGGCCAAAGAUAUUCAUAAGAAAAUCAACCAUCUUUGGACUACAAGCCAAAGAUAUUCAGUAAUAUCAUCAUUUAGGACUGAAGAUGAUGAAAAAUAUUUUAAAGAAAAUGAAUCCAGUAAAACAAAAGAACAAACAAUAAGGAUUCGUAUUUUAAACAGUCCAAGUUCAAAAAUACUUCAUAAAUAACCAUAGUGAAAUAAAAUUCAAGAAUGAUCAAAACAUGGAUACAAUCAAAGCUAGUAUCCAUAAUAGAUAUUUUGGACAAAAAAUAAAAUUUUAAUUUUUCUGUGAAUAGUACCGUAUUCGUGAAUAGUGCCGUAUACGUGAAUAGUAACCCCGACACUAAGAGACAAGAAUUUUACAAGAAAAUUUUUACCAAUAUUCUGGCAUAAUGAUAUUGGAAGAAAUAAUAUCAUUUAAAAAAUAAUAACAUCCCUUACCUCCAAAAAGACAGUACUUCUGACUGGAAUACUAGAUAUAGUGCUGAAGGGAACUUGCAUCGUAUAGCAACACUCAAAGUAUCAAAAUACUCACAAGAAUACACUCGAUAAUAUAGAGAGAGAGAAAAAAAAACUUAUUUCUGGUGUGAUUUUCAAUUAUAACCUAAGCAC
rnacentral:lncRNA from 1 species